AUGUUCACUGUUAUAUUCAUGUGUCUGUGGCUUUCACUCGGUGACUCCAUGGCAGCUUCAAUCAAGCCACUUUUCACUCAUACAAUUAUAGAUGAAGGCAGUGAUGUUACUCUGUCCUGCAACUACGAAGCAAGUGGUACAGGAAACUACCUGCACUGGUACAGACAAUAUCCAAAAUCUAAACCUGACUUCCUUCUUUUUAUAUCACAAAGUGGAUAUAAAAGUGACUCAAUCCCACCACGUCUCUCUGCUGAAGUUGAUGAAAAGAAUAACCAAGUGGAUCUGCUCAUCUCCUCUGCUGCUGUAUCAGACUCUGCACUAUACUACUGUGCUCUGCAGCCUACAGUGAUAGGAAAUCCAACUGCACUGCCUUUAAAAGCGGGUGACUGGGAAUAUCGUGUGCUGGAUAUUGGAUAUACACGUGUGGAGUGUAACGAGAGAAGAGCAGGGCUCACCGACUCCACAGCCACACUGGGGACGAUCCUCUCAUCGAUCUCCUUCAGCUUGUCAGCAAUCAGCUGUCUGUCCUCUGUGGCGAUGAUGGACUCUACAGGUGUGCCCAAAACCUUCACACCGUAUUGCUGCAGUACGCCAAUCUGA